rnacentral:rRNA from 1 species
CUUUGAAGAGAGAGUUAAAGAGGACGUGAAACCGGUAAGGUGGAAACGGAUAGAGUCGGCGUAUCAUUCAAUUAUUCAGUUACAUUAUUUUUAUGUUGUGACCUCUGAGCUCCAGAUUGGGACAGAGGGAAUCAGCAUAAUUUUUUGUGGUGCAUUUACUUGAUUGGUGCUUGGGGAUGUUUGAGGCAGAUUUGUUUCCGUCGUUUUGAGGCCAGCUUGCUGGUACCCAAACGGUGUUAGCAUUUUUUGUCUUGGGCAUUUGAGUAUGGCUCACGUGUAUUUAUUGGUCAGAUCUGAGUGUAAGUUACGGUCGCAUGCGACACGUGCUUUUCAAUUAGUUCGGUCCAGUUAAUGCUCUCGUACUCGUUCCCCAUGUAAAAGCCGGUCAUCUAUCCGACCCGUCUUGAAACACGGACCAAGGAGUUUAUCGUGUGCGCAAGUUUUUGGGUGUUAAAAACUUAAAAGCGAAAUGAAAGUAAAUGACUCUUUAGAGUCUGAUGUGCGAUCUUGUAAAAAAGUGCAGCAUGGCCCCAUUCUAACUGUUUACAGUAGGGUGGCGGAAGAGCGUCACGGUGAGACCCGAAAGAUGGUGAACUAUUCCUGAGCAGGACGAAGC